ACCAAUGAAUAUGUAUUGGUUAACAAGUGCAGUGGGAAGAAUUUUGUUACAGCAGCCAACCAGACAGACGUAGGCCCUAGAAGCCGAACCACCCUCAGAAGAUGGUAAGCUGGGCCAUUUCUGGUGCUUCAAACUAAAUCUACCUAGAAUUACA